rnacentral:lncRNA from 1 species
AGUGUUCGGGGCCGUUUUGGCGGCUAUGCAGGAUUGGCAGGAGCUGCGAUGCUCACACUUGCCUCGCCGACCGCCAUUUCACAUCCAGCAGAGGAGGCGGGGGCAGCCGCUGAGACGGUUUUUCACAAGGAAAUGACCUCAUUCUUGAUGGCUGCUGCUAACUUAUGGUGAGAUGCUGGGUCCCUGCCCAAUACCACAUGGACAUCCAAUCAAUUUACCCAGGGACAAGUCCACUCAAGAGCAUCAUUUAGAAGAGGGAAAAGGCACUGGGGUUAUUUGUUUUUGGAGUAUGUGCUUAAGGAAAUCUAGAGUAUUCCCACGAGCAUUCUGCUGAGAUGAACAAUCAGAUGACCUCGUGUGAGAUUUGGAGGAGAGAAGGAAAUGGAGAGCAUGCGUCUGCCGCUUCUGUGGUUUCUGUCGGUAAGCACAGUGAUGAGGUGCUGAGUUUUCCCCAGAAGGCCUCCCAGUGUCCUAUUACCAGCUUCACAAGCGUCGAGGGCAGGGCAUGGGCAUCUAUUGUUCACCAGUGGAGAUCUAUCUGGCACAGAACCGAUCCAACCAUUGCAGUGGUCACAGCGGUGUUGGCUUUCUGAUUCUCAACCUUCCUGACCGCCAGAGGAGACAGCCUCUUUGGUGGCCCUGUUCUGUGGUAUUGUGCUAACCGGUGGUGGGACUAAAACUGUCUCUAUAAUGUUUUAUUUCUUAAAAAAAAAUUCUGAAGCAAAUGUGACAAUAUGUUAACAUUCUUAAAAUCUGGGUAGUGGGAACAUGGAUGUUGUUAUUUGUGGUGUGUUUGAAAUUGUGUCAUAUUAUAAAUUUUAAAAAAAUGUUUUGACUACAAAAUCUCUAUGUAUAUGCCCAGUUUUUGUAGAUUGUUGCUUACGCUUUUCAUAUUUUUACCCAAGGAGUAAUCAGGAAUUCUAAAAGUCUUAUGUAACAGGAUUUAAAAUAAAAUUACACAGAAUCUCAACUGUACUAUAUUUUGAAAAUAUGAAUGAUUAAGAUUAUUUUUUAUAUUUUUAUUAAUAUAGAGAAAAUAAUUUCUAUAAAAUAUGCUUUCAGCUAAUGGGGGAUCCCAUUCCAUAUUUUUUUCUUUUUCUUUUUUUUUUU